AUGUUCCCAAAGUUGGACAAUUCCCAGCUCCGGUGUCACCCCAGGUCAGACAUUUUCCAGCUCCAAUGUCCCCAACAUCAGACUUUUCCAGCUCCUGGUGUUGCCCCAGGUCGGAUGAUUCCCGGCUCCGGUGUCCCCAAAGAUGGACAAUCCCCAGCUCUUGGUGUCCCCCCAGGUCGGAUGAUUCCCAACUCCGAUGUUAUUCGAGGACAGAUGUUUCCUGGCUUUGAUGUUGCCCCAGGUUGCACGUUCCCCAGCUCCGAUGUCCCCAACAUCAGACUUUUCUCAGCUCCGAUGUCACCCCAGGUCGGAUGUUUCCCAGCUUUUGGGGACCCCCAGGACGAACGUUUCCCAGCUCCGGAUGGCCUCAACAUGAGAUGUUUCCCUGCUCCAGGAGACCCCCAAGGUCAGACGUUUCCUGGUUUCGACGUUGCCCCGAAGUCGGACGUUUCCCAGCUCCCACGUUCCUCAACACGUGUUGGAUGUUUCCCGGCUCUGAUGUCCCCCAACAUCAGAUGUUUCCUGCCUCCGACGUCCCCCCAGGUCAGACAUUUGCUGUCGCCGCUGCUGUCCUUGUUCAUUGGCUCCGGUGUCCCCCCAGGUCGGACAGUUGUUGGCUCUGACAUCCGCUUCGGUGUUGGUCAGCUCCUAUGUCCCCCACGUUGGACGUUUGCCGGCGCCGGCGCUUUUGGUGUUUGCCAGUUCCAGUAUCGGCUGCUUUUGGUGUCCACCAGCCCCAAUAUCUGCCACGUUUGGUGUCCACCAGCUCCAGGAGCCGCAGGUCGGACAUUUCGUGGCUCUCAACUUCCCCCAGGUCAGACAUUUUCCAGUGCCAAAACCCACCAGUUUUGGGGUCCACCAGCUCCAACAUCUACCAGUUUCAGCGUCCACCAGCUCCAACACCCGCAGGU
rnacentral:lncRNA from 1 species